rnacentral:rRNA from 1 species
UACGUAGGGUGCAAGCGUUAAUCGGAAUUACUGGGCGUAAAGCGUGCGCAGGCGGUUAUGCAAGACAGAUGUGAAAUCCCCCGGGCUCAACCUGGGAACUGCAUUUGUGACUGCAUAGCUAGAGUACGGUAGAGGGGGAUGGAAUUCCGCGUGUAGCAGUGAAAUGCGUAGAUAUGCGGAGGAACACCGAUGGCGAAGGCAAUCCCCCUGGACCUGUACUGACGCUCAUGCACGAAAGCGUGGGGAGCAAACAGG